rfam:Deltaproteobacteria bacterium DG_8 WOR1_52_54_26606, whole genome shotgun sequence.
AAAACCUUUAAUUUAAUCCAGCGAGAUUAAGAAGGUUGCUAUGAUAAUGAUCAAGUUAUUUCAUAGGAAUAUCCUCCUUGCCUUUUAGGUUAGGGAGGUUUUUUUU